ACGGCGGCGCUCCACCCACUCCUCCGCCGUACCACCACUUGGGAAAUAUCUAGCCAGCCUCCCAUCCCCACUCAAUAAUGCUGGUGCUCCUUCCUGGAUCUCACAACAAGCUAGCUCAACGAGUCAACUGCUCCGGCCGGCCGGCGGGCUUCGUGUGUGCGCCUGCAUCAAUCCCCGCCCGGCUACUCUGCUGCCAACGGCACACGUCCGGUUGACAUUUAAACAUGUCCAAUGUCAUGGAUGAAGCUUUCUGGUGCGAGCGGGUGUUUAGAGAGCAUCAACUCUCCGUAGUGCGUCUGCAUACUACUGCUGAUAAUGUUUUCCAUGGCAAUGGCUUUAUUGUCUACCGCAGUAUCUGUAAAACCAUAUGUGACAUAGUGACAUGUGAACAUGUCGUUAAUAUGAUUCCUGUGGGUGGAACCAUGACUGUUUAUUUCUUCAACUCUGACGGAUAUCUCCCAAUGGGAUACAAUGCAAGAAUAGUACGUACUGAUGUGCGUCGGGAUCUUGCUUGGUUACGGGUUCAAAAUGUGAUGGAACCAGUGACUUCUCUGAGGUUCUUUGAGACACCAUAUGCUUCUGGAUGGAAUGUUAUCGUACUUGCUUUUACCACGUUGGGUGAUUCUUCUGCUCCUAUCCUAGAGCCAGGGACAUUUUCUGGUCAAAUAACCAAUGAACCAGAUGAAGUGUCCCUUACCUGCAGUUGUACAUCUAAGCAAGGCGCAUCAGGCUCACCUCUUAUUUUGCCACGGAUUGACAGGGUAGCUGGGGUGCUUGCCGGAGCUUCACAUGCAUCUGUAUACGCCGUUCCUGUCAGACUUAUAAGGGAGUUCUUAAAAGAGUGGCUUGGUGGAGCCGAAGUCCUGGACGGAUUUACAACUGCUGGGUUGGUUAUGCUUGCCGCAAUGAACCAAUAGUAUGUACGAUGAGGACUUGAACACUGGAUGGAAACUUGGGGAGGAAGAAGAACCAUGAGAAGUUGUCAGAAAUGAUCCUAAUAAAAGUUGCCGUGCGCGUGGCAUAAUUCUGGGUUUUAUAGUUAGUAUGCUGGAAUGUUUUAGUCCUGGACUUUGUAGCUAGUCAUUGGCUGGGCUGUGCUCGUUUUAGAUUGUAUACUGAUCUAGUACUACUUAUUUGUUUCUUAACUGUGCUACUUUAUUGUCUUGCGGUUUGAAUUAUGUCACCCUAUUAAUUUACUCUAUGUAUUAGGCAAACAUGAUUGAAUGCGUGUUAAUUUGUUUCCUUAUUAAUUCCA